GACGAACGCUGGCGGCGUGCCUAAUACAUGCAAGUCGAGCGCAGGAAAUCAUCCGAACCCUUCGGGGGGACGUUGAUGGAAUGAGCGGCGGACGGGUGAGUAACACGUAAAGAACCUGCCCUCAGGUCUGGGAUAACCACGAGAAAUCGGGCUAAUACCGGAUGGGUCAUCGGACCGCAUGGUCCGAGGAUGAAAGGCGCUUCGGCGUCGCCUGGGGAUGGCUUUGCGGUGCAUUAGCUAGUUGGUGGGGUAACGGCCCACCAAGGCGACGAUGCAUAGCCGACCUGAGAGGGUGAUCGGCCACCCGGGGACUGAGACACGGCCCAGACUCCUACGGGAGGCAGCAGUAGGGAAUCUUCCACAAUGGACGAAAGUCUGUUGGAGCAACGCCGCGUGAACGAUGAAGGCCUUCGGGUCGUAAAGUUCUGUUGUAAGGGAAGAACAAGUGCCGCAGGCAAUGGCGGCACCUUGACGGUACCUUGCGAGAAAGCCACGGCUAACUACGUGCCAGCCGCCGCAGUAAUAC
rnacentral:rRNA from 1 species